UGGGGAAUAUUGGACAAUGGGCGCAAGCCUGAUCCAGCCAUACCGCGUGGGUGAAGAAGGCCUUCGGGUUGUAAAGCCCUUUUGUUGGGAAAGAAAUCCAGCUGGCUAAUACCCGGUUAGGAUGACGGUACCCAAAGAAUAAGCACCGGCUAACUUCGUGCCAGCAGCCGCGGUAAUACGAAGGGUGCAAGCGUUACUCGGAAUUACUGGGCGUAAAGCGUGCGUAGGUGGUCGUUUAAGUCCGUUGUGAAAGCCCUGGGCUCAACCUGGGAACUGCAGUGGAUACUGGGCGACUAGAGUGUGGUAGAGGGUAGCGGAAUUCCUGGUGUAGCAGUGAAAUGCGUAGAGAUCAGGAGGAACAUCCAUGGCGAAGGCAGCUACCUGGACCAACACUGACACUGAGGCACGAAAGCGUGGGGAGCAAACAGGAUUAGAUACCCUGGUAGUCCACGCCCUAAACGAUGCGAACUGGAUGUUGGGUGCAAUUUUGGCACGCAGUAUCGAAGCUAACGCGUUAAGUUCGCCGCCUGGGGAGUACGGUCGCAAGACUGAAACUCAAAGGAAUUGACGGGGUCAUAGCUGUUUUCCU
rnacentral:rRNA from 1 species